rnacentral:rRNA from 1 species
GACGAACGCUGGCGGCGUGCUUAACACAUGCAAGUCGAACGGAAAGGCCCUGCUUUUGUGGGGUGCUCGAGUGGCGAAAGGGUGAGUAACACGUGAGUAGCCUGCCCUUGACUUUGGGAUAACUUCAGGAAACUGGGGCUAAUACCGGAUAGGAGCUCCUGCUGCAUGGUGGGGGUUGGAAAGUUUCGGCGGUUGGGGAUGGACUCGCGGCUUAUCAGCUUGUUGGUGGGGUAGUGGCUUACCAAGGCUUUGACGGGUAGCCGGCCUGAGAGGGUGACCGGCCACAUUGGGACUGAGAUACGGCCCAGACUCCUACGGGAGGCAGCAGUGGGGAAUAUUGCACAAUGGGCGGAAGCCUGAUGCAGCAACGCCGCGUGCGGGAUGACGGCCUUCGGGUUGUAAACCGCUUUCGCCUGUGACGAAGCGUGAGUGACGGUAAUGGGUAAAGAAGCACCGGCUAACUACGUG